ensembl:lncRNA
CUACAUUAUCCAGAAAGUAAGUGUUAUUUGAAGCCACAUCAGAAUUCAUGGAUUUCCUAGGAAAGUUUCCCGGGCAUGUACAGAACCUGACCAAAGAAGGACCCAUCCCACGACACUUUGAGGGCCCACUCAAGGAUGAGGACGGGCUGCUCACAACGGGAAGGGGCCGGAAAAGAAAGGCUGACAAAGACAAUGUUUUACUGUCAAACAGCAAGAAACCAAAGGUUGUGGAGGGGUUUCAGGAGCUACCAUCUUGUAUUCUCUUGGAGGACUAUUCUCAGGUUUACCCUGACUCACCAUGUUUAAAUGAAACAGAGAAAGACUGUAUCCGAAAAAGAGAAGGACCCAUCCCACGACACUUUGAGGGCCCACUCAAGGAUGAGGACCGGCUGCUCACAACGGGAAGGGGCCGGAAAAGAAAGGCUGAGGAAGACAAUGUUCAACUGUCAAACAGCAAGAAACCAAAGGUUGUGGAGGGGUUUCAGGAGCUUCCAUCUUGCAUUCUCUUGGAGGACAAUUCUCAGGUUUACCCUGACUCACCAUGUUUAGAUGAAACAGAGAAAGACUGGAUCCGAAAAAGAGGUAAGAUGAACAAAGCUAAACAAUAUAAAAUACACUAUUAUCGAGUGUAGAACCCGUAUUUUCAAGGUAAAUAUUGCAAACAA